UCACCGUCUUGCUCGGAUUCGCUUGGUGCAGGUCGGGAACCAAUUGUCUGACACAUCCACGAAGUUUUACUUGCUGGUUUGUGAGCAGGGAUUGGAUCCCGCCUUGCAUCAAAUGAAUCGGAGUCCUGAUGGUGAAA
rnacentral:pre_miRNA from 2 species